rnacentral:lncRNA from 1 species
AUGCCUCAUCCCCACAUCCAGUGGCUUAGUUCUGGCCUGUCUUGGUUUCCCUUCCCCUGCCAAUCGAAGUCUUUAAUGACCUGUGCUGUUUUGUCAUGGGUCCUUCUGGGAACCUCUGCUGGAUACGUGUCUGCUAAAAUGUAUAAGAGCAAGCAUUACAACUCUUUAUUUUGCUGGUUAGGUAUCCAGUUUGCACAAACCAGAUUCCACGUCAGAUUCCUCAACAGAUUUUCUCUAGAAAAUGACUUUUGGCAUCAUAUCAGUGGCAUUUUCCCUUUUGGCUGUAUUUUUAUUCAACUCUUUUUCCUUCUGAACAGUGUUUGGUAA